rnacentral:lncRNA from 1 species
AGUUGCUACUAUUCUAAUCGCAAAGUCAAGAGUUCCUUCUUUUCUUAGCUGCCUUCAGUGCCACAGAACUAUCUGGGCCUCUUCCUCUACCCCUCCUUGUGUGAUCGCUCCUUUCAAAAGCAACAGCCAAAGCAGAUGCAAGGGAGAUGCAUUGGUGCUCAUAAAUUCAAGGAGCUGAAAUGGCAACAGCUGUGGCAAUUUCAGGAUUUCAGCAGGUAAUCAAAUGGGUCAAAAUCAAAGUUGAUGAUCAGUCAUAUGAUCUUCAGCAGCCCUGGAAGGGUGUGAGUUCUCGGCAUCCCAUGCAGGAGCUCUGAAUGUACAAGAGGUGCUGAGGAGGGAGCAUGCGCCGAUUCUCCCCCUGCAAGGAACCAUGUAAGGCAAUCAAAAGACAUAACAAUAACCAACAUCCACGCAACUCCUGCCAGGUGCCAAACGCUGGAUGACCUCACUAUCCUCAUGGAAAAGGAGGUGGUAAGUACUGCUCAUAUCUUCUUCAUUUUCCUUUUGAGGGAACCAAGACACAGAACGAUAAAGUAACUUGCUUAGGUUACACCAUUAGUGAGAGGCACAGCUCGGUUUCAAACCCAAACUGAGCUAUUAAUAUUUCAGUAAAGCACCUUUAUAUAAAUAAGGAGGUAGUUCCUAAGAUCUUAUCAUGGCUGUGCGGCUGCAGAUCUCUUCACUACUCCAAGCCCUUUUUUUUUUUUUUUUUUUUUUUUUUAUAAAUUACACAGCCUUGGGUAUUUCUUUACAGCAGUGUGAAAAUGGACUAAUACAGCUGCUGACUCUUCCUCCUAUGACAGAUGAGUUCUUAGUUCACUUACAUUACUCCCUUUCUUUCUCACAACACAGUUACAUUGCUCUUGUAAAGUCCUCUCUAUGUUACUUUUUUCACUACAAAUAAUAUGACUAAACUUCUUAUUUUUAAUCCUAUUAGUGAUAGGUAAAUUAUCUUGUCUCCUCGCUUUAUAAUAUGAAGAUAGAGUGCAGUUGCAAUAUGUGUGCACUUAGCUCAUACGUAUUAGCUAACUUCAUCUGGCCAGAAAAGAAGAAAGUGGGUAUGAGGAAGAAGUGAGAGAGAAAACGGGGGCAGGAGGAAGACAGGCCGAGGGGGUGUGGGGGAGGCAGAACUCUUAAAUAGUGUGAAUGAUGAUUUCAGCUGC